rnacentral:rRNA from 1 species
AGCAGCUUGCUGCUUUGCUGACGAGUGGCGGACGGGUGAGUAAUGUCUGGGAAACUGCCUGAUGGAGGGGGAUAACUACUGGAAACGGUAGCUAAUACCGCAUAACGUCGCAAGACCAAAGAGGGGGACCUUAGGGCCUCUUGCCAUCGGAUGUGCCCAGAUGGGAUUAGCUAGUAGGUGGGGUAACGGCUCACCUAGGCGACGAUCCCUAGCUGGUCUGAGAGGAUGACCAGCCACACUGGAACUGAGACACGGUCCAGACUCCUACGGGAGGCAGCAGUGGGGAAUAUUGCACAAUGGGCGCAAGCCUGAUGCAGCCAUGCCGCGUGUAUGAAGAAGGCCUUCGGGUUGUAAAGUACUUUCAGCGGGGAGGAAGGGAGUAAAGUUAAUACCUUUGCUCAUUGACGUUACCCGCAGAAGAAGCACCGGCUAACUCCGUGCCAGCAGCCGCGGUAAUACGGAGGGUGCAAGCGUUAAUCGGAAUUACUGGGCGUAAAGCGCACGCAGGCGGUUUGUUAAGUCAGAUGUGAAAUCCCCGGGCUCAACCUGGGAACUGCAUCUGAUACUGGCAAGCUUGAGUCUCGUAGAGGGGGGUAGAAUUCCAGGUGUAGCGGUGAAAUGCGUAGAGAUCUGGAGGAAUACCGGUGGCGAAGGCGGCCCCCUGGACGAAGACUGACGCUCAGGUGCGAAAGCGUGGGAGCAAACAGGAUUAGAUACCCUGGUAGUCCACGCCGUAAACGAUGUCGACUUGGAGGUUGUGCCCUUGAGGCGUGGCUUCCGGAGCUAACGCGUUAAGUCGACCGCCUGGGGAGUACGGCCGCAAGGUUAAAACUCAAAUGAAUUGACGGGGGCCCGCACAAGCGGUGGAGCAUGUGGUUUAAUUCGAUGCAACGCGAAGAACCUUACCUGGUCUUGACAUCCACGGAAGUUUUCAGAGAUGAGAAUGUGCCUUCGGGAACCGUGAGACAGGUGCUGCAUGGCUGUCGUCAGCUCGUGUUGUGAAAUGUUGGGUUAAGUCCCGCAACGAGCGCAACCCUUAUCCUUUGUUGCCAGCGGUCCGGCCGGGAACUCAAAGGAGACUGCCAGUGAUAAACUGGAGGAAGGUGGGGAUGACGUCAAGUCAUCAUGGCCCUUACGACCAGGGCUACACACGUGCUACAAUGGCGCAUACAAAGAGAAGCGACCUCGCGAGAGCAAGCGGACCUCAUAAAGUGCGUCGUAGUCCGGAUUGGAGUCUGCAACUCGACUCCAUGAAGUCGGAAUCGCUAGUAAUCGUGGAUCAGAAUGCCACGGUGAAUACGUUCCCGGGCCUUGUACACACCGCCCGUCACACCAUGGGAGUGGGUUGCAAAAGAAGUA